rnacentral:rRNA from 1 species
GUGAGCUCGAUGAGUAGGGCGGGACACGUGGUAUCCUGUCUGAAUAUGGGGGGACCAUCCUCCAAGGCUAAAUACUCCUGACUGACCGAUAGUGAACCAGUACCGUGAGGGAAAGGCGAAAAGAACCCCGGCGAGGGGAGUGAAACAGAACCUGAAACCGUGUACGUACAAGCAGUGGGAGCCCCACCACUAAGCCAGUGGUGAACUCCACAUACGCAUCCUUUGCUGAGGAUACGGUUAACGGAGCGAAAGCGACGUUUAACCGCAAAAGAAGCAGAGGGGGCUUAGUGGUGGGGUGACUGCGUACCUUUUGUAUAAUGGGUCAGCGACUUAUAUUCUGUAGCAAGGUUAACCGCAUAGGGGAGCCGGAGGGAAACCGAGUCUUAAUUGGGCGUUAAGUUGCAGGGUAUAGACCCGAAACCCGGUGAUCUAGCCAUGGGCAGGUUGAAGGUUGGGUAACACUAACUGGAGGACCGAACCGACUAAUGUUGAAAAAUUAGCGGAUGACCUGUGGCUGGGGGUGAAAGGCCAAUCAAACCGGGAGAUAGCUGGUUCUCCCCGAAAGCUAUUUAGGUAGCGCCUCGUGAAUUCAUCUCCGGGGGUAGAGCACUGUUUCGGCCAGGGGGCCAUCCCGGCUUACCAAUCCGAUGCAAACUGCGAAUACCGGAGAAUGUUAUCACGGGAGACACACGGCGGGUGCUAACGUCCGUCGUGAAGAGGGAAACAACCCAGACCGCCAGCUAAGGUCCCAAAGUCAUGGUUAAGUGGGAAACGAUGUGGGAAGGCCCAGACAGCCAGGAUGUUGGCUUAGAAGCAGCCAUCAUUUAAAGAAAGCGUAAUAGCUCACUGGUCGAGUCGGCCUGCGCGGAAGAUGUAACGGGGCUAAACCAU